rnacentral:lncRNA from 1 species
CCACACCAAUCCUCUCUUGUUUUGUGUGACAAAAGCCCUCUCCCAGGUCUUUGUCACAUCCAAAAGGCUUCCUCUCUUCUUUCAUACAUGGAAAGUGGUUGUAGAUCAAAUCAAAAUAGAAAUAAGUUUGGAUUUUAAAUUCUAUAAGAUAGAGUUUUAGAAAUCCAAAACUCUUUUCUUUUUGCAUCGAAUUUAUCCAAAUUUCUUUUUGAAUUUUUAUGGCUUUUAGGGCACACAUUAUGCACUUUUUGCUGGUGGUCC